GGAUAACAUGGUUGGGAGAAGUGUACAUUUAAGAUUAUGUCUGAGUAUAAUUUUAUGGAGAGCAUCAGAGAGCACAGAAGCCUCUGGUGUAAAAGUGACCUAAAAUUUAGAGAUUCUGUAGAAAACAAGCGAAUAUGGGAGGAAAUAGGAAAAACCUAUAGCUUGAAUUAUGAUCAAGUGAAGAAAAAUUUUUAGCAGUAAAGGCUAAAUUUAAUAAGUUAUAUUUUCUCACCCAGCAAAAAUCAGGUUCUGGAUCUGGAUCUGGAGUUCUUAAAGGGAAAGAUGUCAUAUAUAUUGAAAAUUAUUCAUGGUUGAAGGAAAAUGUUGAAAAUAUUACUAAAUUUUCUGAGUCAAGCUUGAUAUUGACACAGACAAAUGAAUAUGAAAAUAGCCAUCUGGGAAAUUUUAUAUUUGUAUUAAAAAGUAAUUUAUUUUUAGGCAGAAUCAUAUCUGAAUCAAAUUGCUAAUCCAGUAUUUGAAUUGGAUGCUUUAGAUCAAGAUACCACAAACAAAGAGAAUGAAAACCCAAUUAUCAUUAAAAAUAUUCCAACUCCUAUAUUUAAAAGGAAAAAAUUAAAAGUUAUAGAAUCUGAAAGAAC